GGUAAAGCUUAUAGGAGACGAGCAGAUGCGCGAAGAUCCUUCGGAUUCGAUUUCAAACCCAAGAUGCAUACGAGAGAAAAUGGCCGAUGAUCGGACGACCGAUCCCACAAUAGGGAGUAUCUCGUACUUUUACUUUUCAUUUAUGCUUUCCAUUUAUUUUAUUAUGUUGCAUAUAAUAAUAGAAUCAUGUUUACGUCCCGGGACUUGCAUGCAUUAGUUUUGUUUCUAAAUUUUAUACUGACUUGUUUUUUAAAUGUUUUUCUUUUGUAGGUAAAGCUUAUAGGAGACGAGAGGAUGCGCGAAGAUCCUUCAAACUCGAUUUCAAACCCACGAUAACAUACGAGGGAAAAUGAUCGGACGACCGAUCCCACAAUAGGGAGUAUCUCGUACUUUUUCUUUUAAUUUAUGCUUUCCAUUUAUUUUAUUAUGCUGCAUAUAGUAAUAGAGUCAUGUUUACGUCCCGGGACUUGCAUGCAUUAAUUUUGUUUCUAAAUUUUAUACUAACUUGUUUUUUAAGUGUUCUUCUUUUGUAGGUAAAGCUUAUAGGAGACGAGAGGAUGCGCGAAGAUCCUUCGAAGUCGAUUUCAAACCUAAGAUGCAUACGAGAGAAAAUGAUCGGACGACCGAUUCCAUAAUAGGGAGAAUCUCGUACUUUUUCUUUUAAUUUACGUUUUUCAUUUAUUUUAUUAUGUUGCAUAUAGUAAUAGAAUCAUGUUUACG